rfam:Myotis lucifugus cont2.57773, whole genome shotgun sequence.
GCCAGUGUGGCUCAGUGGAUGGAGCAUCAGCCUGCAGACUGAAGGGUCCUGGGUUCAAUUCCUGGUCAAGGGCA